rnacentral:rRNA from 1 species
GUGGGGAAUUUUGGACAAUGGGCGCAAGCCUGAUCCAGCAAUGCCGCGUGCAGGAAGAAGGCCUUCGGGUUGUAAACUGCUUUUGUACGGAACGAAACGGUCCUGGUUAAUACCUGGGGCUAAUGACGGUACCGUAGAAUAAGCACCGGCUAACUACGUGCCAGCAGCCGCGGUAAUACGUAGGGUGCGAGUGUUAAUCGGAAUUACUGGGCGUAAAGCGUGCGCAGGCGGUGCUGUAAGACAGACGUGAAAUCCCCGGGCUCAACCUGGGAAUGGCGGUUGUGACUGCAAAGCUGGAGUGCGGCAGAGGGGGAUGGAAUUCCGCGUGUAGCAGUGAAAUGCGUAGAUAUGCGGAGGAACACCGAUGGCGAAGGCAAUCCCCUGGGCCUGCACUGACGCUCAUGCACGAAAGCGUGGGGAGCAAACAGGAUUAGAAACCCGUGUAGUCC